rnacentral:rRNA from 1 species
AGUGAACGCUGGCGGUAGGCCUAACACAUGCCAGUCGAACGGCAGCACAGUAAGAGCUUGCUCUUACGGGUGGCGAGUGGCGGACGGGUGAGGAAUACAUCGGAAUCUACUUUUUCGUGGGGGAUAACGUAGGGAAACUUACGCUAAUACCGCAUACGACCUACGGGUGAAAGCAGGGGAUCUUCGGACCUUGCGCGAUUGACUGAGCCGAGUUCGGAUUAGCUAGUUGGCGGGGUAAAGGCCCACCAAGGCGACGAUCUGUAGCUGGUCGGAGAGGAUGAUCGGCCACACUGGAACUGGAACACGGUCCAGACUCCUACGGGAGGCAGCAGUGGGGAAUAUUGGACAUUGGGCGCAGGCCUGAUCCAGCCAUACCGCGUGGGUGAGGAAGGCCUUCGGGUUGUAAAGCCCUUUUGUUGGGAAGGAAGAGCAGCAGGUUAAUACCCCGCUGUUCUGACGGUACCCAAAGAAUAAGCACCGGCUAACUUCGUG